UGGUUUGGCCCGGAGGAGGUUUCCCGCCGGUGAUGUCAGCAAGGGGCGCCCUUUGAUCCCACGGACGUCAAGGCACAGUGGCCGCCGAGCCCCACCGGGAAUUGCGGGGCUCGCACGUGUGCGAGCCCAUAUGCAGCCGCACAGGUCUUUGUACCGCUAGAGAGAGGCACUGGGCUGCCUCGCUGAGACGCGCCCCUCGCCCUCCCCACAGGCGCCACGUCCCCAGGACCACGUCGAGAGAAGGACAUUACCCCAGCGCAGCAUCCUACACGUGCCAUUCCCAGUGGGAGGAGCUUGCGAGGCGCUGGACUGGAGGGAGAGCAAUGGAGCAAUCCCCGAUAAGGGGGUCUGGGUCCCAAAGCAGGGAGCUGGGGGUGUCUCUGCUGGGUACUCUUGUUUCUUGUUCCCCCUGCUUCCCGUGUCCUCUUCUCUCCGUUGCCUUCUGUCAGGCCAGAGAGGCCAAGGGCAGCUCGAAAUUCCUGUGCUGAAGGUGUCUACAGCUAGUCUGAAAAAGCUUCCUUCUGAAAAGCUACAUUUGUCAUUGUCAGGUCAUUCUUCACCACAAUUUUCAUAGUGCAAGGAGCUUUACAUCUAUAGAGCAUCUAUAGAGCAGCUGCAGUUUCAAAGGUGGGUCCUAGAUCUUGGUGCUUAAACUUACACCUGGCUGUGUGUAGGCUCAUCUAGCCCUCCCUUGUUAUGUGCAAACAGGAUCCCAGAGAGUGACCAGCGUUCUCAGGGCCCGGAGCACACUAUAGAAAAUGCUGACAAUUUAAGAUGAAGGAAUGGGUUCUCAUUUGGCAAUCCAACAACUGGUUUAUUGAACCCAGCCUCAAAUAAGUGCAGGGACAAGAACCGAGGACUGGGCUAAGAGCACAGGGUUAAAUGAGGGGCAAAAGGGACGAAUCUGAGGGUCGAGGUCUAAUAGGGACAAGGGAAAGUGGUGCAGGAGUGGAUAAGGGUUAGGAGAACCAAGGGGAUAACAGGGGUGGAACAGUGUAGCAAAACAGAGCCAAUGGAGGUUAAGGAAAGGAAGAACAUUCUAGGAAGGGCACUUGAAUGGUGAAUGGGGAUGAACAAGGGUGACAUCAAUCCCCUCACACUAUCAGAACACUAGAACCCAAAAGGCACCAACAUGUGGCUGCAAAAGGCCUAUGGGAGGAAGGCCUUUUCUUACUCUAUUCUAGAGGGGCAUUUCUCUACUUUUGCCUCUGCCCCUCCAGGGUUGAGGCAUUUUGGUAACAAGCCCCUGGGCCUCCAAACUCCCUAAGCAAAAUACUCUAAUGUAAAUGUUUUCAAACAAACUAAAAACCCUGAGAAAGAUAAUUAAACAACAGGUAGGUAAUUAGUUCCUCACUAACUUUUUAAAUUUUGUUUUCUGUAAAAUUAAGUAGCCUGGCCUCAGCAGAGAAUGCUGGGAACAUGGGGGAGAAGAAAGGAGGGAAAAGGCUGGGCCCCAGAUUUUUCUGCUUUCAAGCACGUGGGGCAUUACUUGAAGAUCUCUCAGCUUUGAUUCAUAUCCUUUCCACUUUAAAUAAGCACAGAAGAGACAGAGGCUUGACUGCCAUUCAAGACUGGGAGCCCUGGUUCCUUGUGAGGCUCUGUACCUGACCAGGCUUGUCUGCUCUCAAGUCUGGGCACACUUAUCAGAAGGGCAAACUUGUGACUGAGAGUUUAUUUUUAUGCUUGUUGUGCAUGAACUUCUGUAGUCAGCUUGUUCUCCCCUUUUCAGAAGACCAGAUUCUUCUGGAACGAAAGAGUGGUCGGUGAUCCAAGGAAUCCAUGAGCUGUCCCAAUGGCCCUGCCAUUUCUGGCAGGAUUUGGCAAAGAAAAUCCCUGACAGUAAUGGCCAAGGGGAUAGGUAACCUGGGUUUUGCUGCUGACAGAUUAGAGACUUGGUAACAAGGAAGCUGCUGGCUUUGUGUCCUGCUCAGGAGAUGAGGCAGCUGGGCCCCUCUCUGAGCUUCAGGUCCUCAGAUCCUGUCAGGCAUUUUCUGGCAUUCAGGUGUCAUUCCUGAUGGCUUUUUGUUCUGCCCUCCUGCUCCAUGGAAAAAAACUUGGAUUUUCCCUAGAGCUGGCUGCUCAUCCUCCUCACCUCCCAUUCCAAUGGAUUUCUUGGAGCUGCUCACCACCUAGUGAGCUUAGAAGUACUUAAGUAACUAAUGAAUGGGAGUGCAAUAUGUUUGUUAUUUUCAGGGAGUUUGGUUUAGGCCAAACCACCUCUUCAUGUGAUCUCCAAGGAGGAAGGACAGAAGGUUUCCUGCUUCUUGCUGUACUGCAUGUGCUUUUCUCUGUUCUUUUGAGUGUUGGCUUUACUUAGCCACGUGUGCCCAUGCUUGCAUGACUAUUGUAGUGGCCAACAGCUGGCUUGAAGGCCUCAUAGUUAUAAUGAAUUCCAGUUACAUAACUGAAAAGUAACUAAUUAUAUAAGUACCUUGACCAGUAGAUUAUGUAACUUGACCUACACUGACAAGCAGGCCCAGGCCAUUGGGGACACGGGCUGCUACUGGCUGGUUGGCUGGGUGGCAACUGGUUCAGCCAAUGGAGAUUAACUGUGCACACCUUUAAAUCUAUAUAAGGAAAAGAACACUCAAUAGAAGUUGGCUGCUGUGCAUGAGCUUUGGUGUGUUUAUUUGUGUCCCUGUCUUCAACAUCAAAGCAACGCAUGACAAUAAAAAAGGCAUUUGUAAAAGAAAAAUAAGUCCCUGAUGAAGCUAUUAUCCACACAUACUGCUCUGUUCCCAGGAUUGGGAAGAGAGGUGAGGUAGCUCCAAAAUGUGAAUCAGUGCUUACUUGGCAUUCCUUGGGGUGAUUCAAAAGCCCUACUAGCCUUCUAUGGAAAGUAAAAUCCUUCUGAAAAUACACAGAACAUAUGAUUAAUUUUAGGUGCAUGUGACUUAGUGGAAAGAGAGAAGAUUCUUCAGGAAUUGAUCGCAUCUGACUGGUGUUUCCACAGGCUGGGAACAGUAAGCAAAUGGAGAUGGAGAUGAUGGAGAUGGAGAUGGAGAUGGAGAUGGAGAUGGAGAUGGAGAUGGAGACAGAGAGAAGGGGUCUAGGUGAAAGGGUGCAUAGGCUGUGAGAAAUACUUUUUUUUUUAGUUUUUUUGACCUGGUCUUACCCUGGAGAUGCUGAUGUUUUAAGUGUCCUGCCUGGACUGUUAAUCCUUUUCCAAUGUUGUGAAAAUGCUCAGGACCACCAGGCUGUUGUUACUAAAAAAUAUGGCUUUGACUGAAGUUUUUCCAGCAUCUAAUAAAAACAAUUAUUUCCUCAAACUCCCCUUCCUUGGGAUUAGGAAUGAGCUGAGGAUAAUGAUCCUUCCAUCUCCUUAGUCAUUUCCUCCCAAGCGGUCAUCCCUGCAUCAAGAAGGCAUUUGUACUGUGUUUGGUACUGCCAGCACUAACUCUACUAACUCUACUCAACACAAUUCUAAGUGCCAACAUUUUCAGCUUGGAAGAGUAUGUUCUGAAGCUACCAUCUCUGGGGAGAUGGACAGCAAUCACUAGAGUGUCACAGUGGAUUAGCAGAAGAAAAUCUGUGGCAGUUUGAUUCUGUGCGGCACAGAUGGCUAUGGGCAUGGUGGGUUUGAACUUACUGGUGCACACGCAUCCCAUCACCUGAUUUCUCCCAUGAGCAAUGCCAUCACCCAGAGUGCUGGAUGCUUUCCUGUGGGAUGCCUUGUGGCCCCCAGGAUGCCCUUUUCCCUUGUCAAGUCACCAGGAGCUCUUCACCUCCCCACCAUCAAUCUGCUGUGGGGCCUCCUCCCUUCCUGGGCAGCAGGCUGGGAGUGCUUGCCUGCUCUCCCCUUCUUGCCUUACCUUGUUUUUGGGCACCUGGGAAGUAGCAGUGAGCCAGGACUAGUGGCAAACAUGGGGAUCGUGGUAAGUUUGUGGGAGGCUGCCCUGAAACAAGUUCACUUGAGGUGAAGUAGGGCAUAGAUUUAGGUGUUUAAAACAGGUGGCAUUGCCAUAGAUAGCUGAGAUAGCUUUCUGAAGCUCUCAGCUCUCAUUUGUCAAGCAUUUCAGUCACUAAAGCAUUUCACAAAGUGGAGCUCUGCCACUUGAACCCAGUAUCUGUCUUGUUGAGAAAUGAGUAGCAGCAAGUCUGGGUAGCAGAUGGUAGAGUGUUCCAGGCAGUUAAGGAAGAGGUAAUGAUAGUGACACUUCUGACAUCUUUUUAAAGAAACAUGCACAUCACUUCAUCUCAGAUAUGAAUAUACAGUACAGUGGGGAUGAUUAAAUAGAGUACUUUGUAUUUAGAAAUAAGACUUCUACAUGAGGCAGCCAGACUUCGUCUUUACUUGCUCAGUACCUCUCUGAAUCUACUUUCUGUCACUUCAUAAUGUUUUGAAUACUUAUUCGUGCUCCAAGGACCUGCUAUAUGCCUUUUUUAGGCAAAGCCAUUUUAUUUUCCUUCUCUGUGUGUUAGUGACUUGGAAGGGAACCAGUGAAUAGCUCUCCUUGGAGCCAGUGCAACCACUUGCACUGCAAUGCUCACCUGUAUCUGGACAAGAGGAGAAUCAUUAAUUUCUAUUUAGCACAUUUAGCAAACAUUUCUAUUCAGCCAUUAGUCUGCCUUUUGAGACACAGAAAUUGACACGUUUUCCAUUUAGGAUGUUAUUGUGACAUGGCUGUAGCUUUUGAGCAGCUGUCAGAUGGUGACAUGAUUUUCAGGGGUCCUUACAAAGGUCAGGUCUGGCAGGGCUACCAUUUCCUGACUUGCUGGAAAGACCUGAAGCACCUUGUGAUGCAUGAGUGGUUCACCUGCUUCUGCUCAGAGCCUGAGGCAAAUGGGAGGCUAGUGGAGUGAGCGCCAUUGAAAAGACUGGGAUUUGCACAAUCUUUCCAGAGCCCAAAUCAAUGGAGGUGCUGCCUCUGUGGAACUUUUGGUGGUGAGGCACUUCCUGGCACAUAGGCAUGUAGAGGCAACAGGAGUGCCUCUAAGUGCCUCUAAGUGCCUCUAAGGCUGUGCAGUAGCAUCAUUCAUUGUCAUUGGUCCUCCCUGGUGCCCCUUCAGAGGUGAUCUGCAAGUGCUGCUCUCUGACACAUGCUCCAAGGGGUGAAGAUCCAUCCUCCUUCCCAAUGAGUGCUUUGAAAUAUCUUAGGCUAAGAUAAGGACAGUCCUCUUGACAUAAGCAUCAUUUUUCUGUCAUUACUACUGUCUGGGCUCCUGUUGAAAAGCAAAGGGAUGGAGAACUGUGGUCUGACAUAGGGAUGCCAAGGCUGGGCACCGCAAUCCUCAUGUAAAAUGAUGCUAGUUUUCAUCUUUGGAAGUAAAUGCAGCUUCUAUUUUUCAUGCUCUCUUACCCUGAUUUCAUGGUACUUUGGUGCCUCAGUAAAGAAACCUGCCAGUCAUCAGUUUCCAGGCGAUAAAUUUGUAAUUGAAGAGGGACUGUCACCGUGGAGCUGGCAACCAAGCCCAGGACUGUACUUUCCCCCGGGGGUGUGCUCAAUGGAGGCACGCUGGUUGGGCUGCCUGGAGGUAGGACUUCAGGCAGCUCCCACCUCCUGGUGGCCAUAAUCCAGCUGUGUAUGCGUCACUGCCCCUGCUGAUUGUGCAAGUGCCCCUGUUGCCAGAGUGACCUGGGGCUUUUGUAACCCCACUGGCAGAACUCUGGGGGGCUUUGCCCUCUACCCCACCUUGACCCUGGCUUUCCCCAGUGGCUUUGCUCAGCUCUGACCAGCCUCAGCAGGAGUCAGAAAGCCUGAAAUUCAGGCUGGGAAGUUCUUGGUGCUGCUAAGCACACAAAAUUGGAAACUUCCUUUUGGGCAUCUUGAUGGAGUUUUGGGCUUCUUGUGUGAUCUGCAGCCACCCUGACCUUAGGGCACCAGAUUGCAAGUGGCUGAGCAGCCCCUGACCCCUUUGCCCUGGUCCAGGCAGUGAGAUGGCAAAGCUUAAGGUUUUGCUAACUCCCAGCCACAAAUACAAGGGUUGGGAACUGGCCACUUCUCAAGUGGCUCACUGAGCUGUGUCCUCUCCCCAGCUGUGUGCCAGAGGCACUGCUUUGCUGAGGUAAUGUAAACAAGUCAUGGCAAAGGCCACCUGGCUGUGCCUAGGUUUAUCACCCUGCAAAAAAGACCUGCUUGUUCAAUAGCAAAUUCCUCUGUGAAUUCACAAUGUGAAUUGCAUAGAUUUAAUUAUUAAUCAAUAUUUGUCCUUCCAGGGCAGCUUCAGGAGACAUGGAAAGGUUCUCUUCCCUCCAUGGGUACAACCUGGAGUUUGGGUGAAUCUGCUGUUUUCCUCAGAGAACAGCUGUACUUUCUGCCUCUAUUGUGUUCUAGUUUCUUUUUUUGAAAGAAGUUCUAGUUUCACCUCUGUCCCAAGGAUAUCAGGGGAUUGAUUAGGGUUCUCCCUAACAGACUUUCAUUAGCUCUAAGUCCAGAAGACAGUUUGCAGUGGAAGUCCAACUGGGAGCUGAUCCCUGCAAGGUGAGAGCUUGACAUGGCAUGCUUCCCCUCUUCAAGGAGCUGUCAGUACUGUCUUCUGAUUUCCUUCACUGCCAUGUGUCAGUCUCCCCCAACUUCUCUUCAGCCUGUUUUGUGCUUUACUGCCCUGGGGUUCAAUGUGUCACCAUAGCUCAGACCUGGCUUUUGGAGCAUGUGCCACCACUAUCUCCUGCUCCUGGGUGUAUGGCAUGGAGCAGGCAGCCCAUGACUGGCUCUGACUGAUGCCAGAGAAGUGCUCCAAGGCAGGAAUAGUCUGAAGAAAUAUUGGUUUUAUUAUCUCUUGGCUGUUUGGUGAGUUGCCCAGGACCCUUCUGAGAUCCUGCUGAAAUUGUUUAAAUGAUAUUUCAUCCUUGGCCUCUGGACAUAAGGUAGGGAUGCACUCACUGACAGACAAGGUGAGGGCAGUGAAAGAGUCAUGCAAUAGAUCCACAAAUGUGAUAUUCUAAAAAAUCCAAAGAUACUUCUGGGAUAAUUUCAGUAUUUCUGUUGGAUGGACAAGGGCAGUUUUGAAUAACUCAUCCUUUGCAAGGAAGCAGAGACUGCCCUAUGAAGGACACUUCACCUCAGGAAAUUAGGACCUUGUUCAACACUAAAUCUGUUUCCCCUCCACUGAACUGAGUCCAGAUCAGCAGAAAAUUCCUCCUGAAAUGGACAACAAGCCCUGGGCAUUAAAAUUCAUGGUGGGAGGACUGUUCAGGCAACUCAGAGGCAGCCCAGUGACCUAGUCCAGCAGCAAGGCUGCACCGAACAAACCUGUGAAACAAAAAACAUGCCUGCAAAUGCAGUGAAGCCAGGGUGGUUGACUCCAGCAAAGCUUGAAUGUGUGUCCUGGAGGAGAAAGACUGUUUUUCAAUCUGUGACCUAACUGAGCAACCUUUCUGUAGCACCAUUCAAGAUCCAAAGUCUAGUAAAGUAAAGGUCUGAUUUUCACUCAAGCUCGGGGCUUUUAGGACACUGUCAAUGUGCAGUAUCCUGGACUGGUGUCAGUAUAUAGAAAUCCUGGAAGCACUUAUUCUGAAGUACAGAGCAGGGCAGACAUGCAAGAAAAGAAAUGCACUCACCACAACUGACUGAAAGCCUGUCCGGCUGCUGGCAGUAGCCAAGUUUACAUUAUCACCAAAUCUUCUGUAAUUGCUAUACUGACUGUUGUUGUAAAUGUAGGAAUUUACCAUUUGGUUGUCCACAUGAAACAGCAUAGAUUUAUUGCUCUCA